rnacentral:rRNA from 1 species
AGUGAACGCUGGCGGCGUGCUUAACACAUGCAAGUCGAACGAGAACGGAAUAUAGCUUGCUAUAUUUGUCAGCUAAGUGGCGCACGGGUGAGUAAUGUAUAGAUAACCUGCCCUUAAGAAAGGAAUAACAGUUGGAAACGACUGCUAAUGCCCUAUAUGCCUUUAAUACAUAAGUAUGCAAGGGAAACGCUUUAGUGCUUAAGGAUGGGUCUGUAUGGUAUCAGCUUGUUGGUGAGGUAAUGGCUCACCAAGGCUAUGACGCCUAACUGGUUUGAGAGGCUGAGCAGUCACACUGGAACUGAGACACGGUCCAGACGCCUACGGGAGGCAGCAGUGGGGAAUAUUGCACAAUGGACGAAAGUCUGAUGCAGCAACGCCGCGUGGAGGAUGACACAUUUCGGUGCGUAAACUCCUUUUAUAUAGGAAGAUAAUGACGGUACUAUAUGAAUAAGCACCGGCUAACUCCGUGCCAGCAGCCGCCGUAA